UACGUAGGGACCGAGCGUUGUCCGGAUUCAUUGGGCGUAAAGAGCUCGUAGGCGGCUGUUCAAGUCGAACGUGAAAACUCGGAGCUCAACUCCGAGCCUGCGUUCGAUACUGGACGGCUAGAGUCUGGUAGGGGGAUCUGGAAUUCCUGGUGUGGCGGUGAAAUGCGCAGAUAUCAGGAGGAACACCGAUGGCGAAGGCAGGUCUCUGGGCCACUACUGACGCUGAGAAGCGAAAGCAUGGGGAGCGAACAGG
rnacentral:rRNA from 1 species